UUUUAAUUAAAAGCUUGUAUGAAUGGUUGGACAAAAGACAAGCUGUCUUUAUUUUUAUUAUUGAAUUUGUCUUUUAAGUGAAAAGACUUAAAUAACUUUAAGGGACGAUAAGACCCUAUAAAGCUUUAUAUUAACUAUACUUUAUUUUUAAUUUUUUAUGUUUAUAAAGAAUAAAGUGUAAAAUAUUUUAUUGGGGUGAUAAGAAUAAGUAAUAAACUGUUCUAACAGAAACAAAGAUAUUUGACUAUUAAUAGAUCCUUACAUUAAGAUUAAAAGUUUAAGUUACUUUAGGGAUAACAGCGUUAUUCUUUUUGAGAGUUCUAAUCGAAAAAAGAGUUUGCGACCUCGAUGUUGAAUUAAAAUCUCUUUAUAGUGCAGCAGCUAUACGAGUAAGUCUGUUCGACUUUUAAAAUUUUACGUGAUCU
rnacentral:rRNA from 3 species